rnacentral:tRNA from 3 species
AACUAUUUUGGCAGAUAAUUGUGUUAAAUUUAGAAUUUAAUUAUAUAAUUUUUAUUAUAGAUAGUA